rnacentral:siRNA from 1 species
GGAGCUGAUGAAUGAGUCGGUUG